AUUGAACGCUGGCGGCAGGCCUAACACAUGCAAGUCGAACGAGUGGCGGACGGGUGAGUAAUGUCUGGGAAACUGCCUGAUGGAGGGGGAUAACUACUGGAAACGGUAGCUAAUACCGCAUACCAUCGGAUGUGCCCAGAUGGGAUUAGCUAGUAGGGGGGGUAAAGGCUCACCUAGGCGACGAUCCCUAGCUGGUCUGAGAGGAUGACCAGCAAAACUGGAACUGAGACACGUGCCAGCCUCCUACGGGAGGCAGCAGUGGGGAAUAUUGCACCAUUGUGGCAAGCCUGAUGCAGCCAUGCCGCGUGUAUGAAGAAGGCCUUCGGGUUGUAAAGUACUUUCAGCGGGGAGGCGUUACCCGCAGAAGAAGCACCGGCUAACUCCGUGCCAGCGGCCGCGGUAAUAC
rnacentral:rRNA from 1 species